CACCUCUAGCAUUUCCAGUAUUAGAGGCACUGCCUGCCCAGUGACAUCUGUUUAAACGGCCGCGGUAUCCUAACCGUGCAAAGGUAGCAUAAUCACUUGUUCCCUAAAUAAAGACUUGUAUGAAUGGCCACACGAGGGUUUUACUGUCUCUUACUUCCAAUCAGUGAAAUUGACCUUCCCAUGAAGAGGCGGGAAUGACUAAAUAAGACGAGAAGACCCUAUGGAGCUUUAAUUAACUGAUUCACAAAAAACAAUACACAAACCUAACCUUCAGGGACAACAAAACUUUUGAUUGAAUCAGCAAUUUCGGUUGGGGUGACCUCGGAGAACAAAACAACCUCCGAGUGAUUUAAAUCCAGACUAACCAGUCAAAAUAUAUAAUCACUUAUUGAUCCAAACCAUUGAUCAACGGAACAAGUUACCCUAGGGAUAACAGCGCAAUCCUAUUCCAGAGUCCAUAUCGACAAUUAGGGUUUACGACCUCGAUGUUGGAUCAAGACAUCCUAAUGGUGCAACCGCUAUUAAGGGUUCGUUUGUUCAACGAUUAAAGUCUU
rnacentral:rRNA from 1 species